AAGUCGUAACAAGGUUAAAUAUCGAUGUAGGUAAACCACCUCCGAAGCCUUGAACUCCAGUCUAUUCUUAAUAGGCUACACCGGUCUGUUGCUAGGCUUAACAUUUAUAUUAGUUAAAUGUUUAACUAGCAGUCGUUGAUACGAUUCACAGGUCAAACACCGGUGGUGAGCAAAUUUCGCGAAUUUAGAUAUGAUCGGUCAGUCUUUGUUAAGAAGUUUGAUAAACGUUCCGUAGGUGAACCUGCGGAAGGAUCAUUAAUGAGUUAGGGUCUUU
rnacentral:misc_RNA from 1 species